AGUCCAUUAAUUUAUAAUUAAAGAUGAGAAACACCAGUUCCUCUCCCACCACCCAUCAUUUGGUAUUAAAUCAUAUAUAUAUAUAUAUGACAGAUAUUAAAUUGUUUCUCAAACAGAGUCAAUAACCUUAGUAUAUUUUCAUAGUCUUUUCAUUGCCACUGAAUUAAUCACAGCCCUGCCCCUAACCACAUGGAAUUUUAUUUCCCAUAAGAGCGAUGUUUACUUUGGUUUACUUUGUUGGAACUCAGAGUACUUACUUAGUCUAUAAAGAUUUAGUGUAACAUAUUCUGUUAAGCAACAUUAAAAGCGCUCACUGACAGUUCUUGUCUUAUAUUGCUUUGCUUAUAUGCAGAUUCUUUGUGCUUUUGAUCUCAUCUAGCUCACCAACAAGGGCAAUGCCGAGACUAGCUCCAGUGUGCAAGGAAAUACUAACUCCUUUGGAGAUUGAAAGUUCUAUUUAUUUUCCUCAGUUGCCAAAAAUAAUAUACGAAGUGAAAAGUGAAUGCCACGAACCUGAGCAUGUACCCAGGGAGAAAUCCUAUUUAUCUGCUUUUAGCAGAUGACAGACAUUAGAGAUGGUACCAACUCAAACUGACUGUCAGUAGUUCGAUUUUUAUCAUUCCAACUGAAAACACAAGGACAGACAACUGCGAUAAGGGCUGCCAGAGAACAUGACUGUCCCCUGAUGAAGGGGACCCACCUCCUUCCCCAUCCCACUCACAAACUCAUUGCAGGGCCCUGAAGUCGCCUCUUCUGACAGUUGUCUCAGUCCCCCAGGGUGGGGGAUGGGAGGACAUUUACUAGAAUGGCAACCCUCAGAUCCAACGAAGCAGAGAGAAGCCCAGAGGCCUGGACCUGACCAGGGGCAGCAGGCCUGAUUCCUCUGACAGGGCAUUAGCAAAGCGUUUCCUGCCCUUGGUUAUACUGACUGCAGUUGACCAGUGCCCUCUGUGAACACAGCACGACUCCUUCAAGAAUGACCAAACGUGGAGGAAGAGUGUCACCUCCCUGACUGAUCAUAUGAGGAGUAGGCUGAAACAGUGCAAGAUGGGAGAAGCCAAAGGGAAAUAUGGAUGGGGAACUUCUGGCCACUCAGACAUGGGCACCUAUUCCACGCCACUCCAGGUCGGGCUGGCUGGCUCCUCAUUAAAGGGAAAGAGGGCUUUUACUCAAGGCCUGAGGCCUAAGGGAAAGCAACACGUUUCCAAUCGGGGAGGGAGCUACAUCGGUUCUGGAGAUUUUGAUUAGUAGCCUGGCAAUAUAAGAACAGGUGUAUUUGAUGUAAGUCUCAAACCUGCCCCCGGCCCCAAGCAGGGGGAGAAAGGAAGGUGCAGCAAUGUGGUGUAGGGCACCGCUCUCCCUCCACACUCUUCCCACCCCAGCCCAAGCCUGUUCCUAGGAGACUCUGGGACCCAAAGCAAAACACUUCCUGGACUCUGCCCUUACCUGCAUGACUACCAAACAAGAGCAAAACAUCAGCCUAAGAGAAAGAAAAGGAACAGUUGAUGCAAGAAGACCUUUGAAACGGAUUUUAUCAUCUUCCUAUUACCAAGAAGGAAGCGGCCACACAGAGACACACAAAACGGAGGCUGCAGGGGAAAAGUGAUUUGCUCAAGGCGCAAGGUCACGCAACAAGGAGGUGGAGCCAGGACCAAGGGCCGCCUACUGCUGCAAACCACCUAGGGGCGCACUAAAAGGAGGCCGGCAGGGCAGGGGGGUGAAGUGUGCCAAGGAUGCGCAAAACCACAGAGUCCACGUAGCAUGCGAGUUUGAAACAAUUGGGAGAUGAUGUUUUCCGUAAAAAUAAACAGAUACAAUAUGCAAUAGAAUGCAAUAUUGGUGGUGUUUUUAAAAUCACCUUUCUCAUAAAUGAUGUUUGAACUUGCCUUACA